rnacentral:rRNA from 1 species
GACGAACGCUGGCGGCGUGCUUAACACAUGCAAGUCGAACGAUGAACCGGAGCUUGCUCCGGGGAUUAGUGGCGAACGGGUGAGUAACACGUGGGCAACCUGCCCCAGACACCGGGAUAACCUUCCGAAAGGAUGGCUAAUACCGGAUAUGACCACUUCGGGCAUCCGACGGUGGUGGAAAGGAUUCUGGUCUGGGAUGGGCCCCGCGGCCUAUCAGCUUGUUGGUGGGGUAAUGGCCUACCAAGGCGACGACGGGUAGCCGGCCUGAGAGGGCGACCGGCCACACUGGGACUGAGACACGGCCCAGACUCCUACGGGAGGCAGCAGUGGGGAAUAUUGCGCAAUGGGCGAAAGCCUGACGCAGCGACGCCGCGUGAGGGACGAAGGUCUUCGGAUUGGUAAACCUCUUUCAGCAGGGACGAAGCGAAAGUGACUGUACCUGCAGAAGAAGCACCGGCUAACUACGUGCCAGCAGCCGCGGUAAU